CCUUCAAACAGCCACAUAAUAGGUAGCGAGGCAGACCACAUAACAGGUAGCGAGGCAGACCACAUAACAGGUAGAGAGGCAGACCACAUAACAGGUAGAGAGGCAGACCACAUAACAGGUAGAGAGGCAGACCACAUAACAGGUAGCGAGGCAGACCACAUAACAGGUAGCGAGGCAGACCACAUAACAGGUAGAGAGGCAGACCACAUAACAGGUAGAGAGGCAGACCACAUAACAGGUAGAGAGGCAGACCACAUAACAGGUAGCGAGGCAGACCACAUAACAGGUAGCGAGGCAGACCACAUAACAGGUAGCGAGGCAGACCACAUAACAGGUAGCGAGGCAGACCACAUAACAGGUAGCGAGGCAGACCACAUAACAGGUAGCGAGGCAGACCACAUAACAGGUAGCGAGGCAGACCACAUAACAGGUAGCGAGGCAGACCACAUAACAGGUAGCCAGGCAGACCAAAUCAAGACAUUCCUAACACUAACAAAGACAUUUGAACUAAAUCAAUAAUGGCAAAGAAAAUAAUCAAAUAUUUAUUCUACUUUAAUUCUCAAAUAUUUAGAACUGCAUCGUGUAUAAAGUUACACAUGUACUAAAAUAUACUGUUUAACAACUGUUAUGAAUGUAUGUAGGGGGAAAAAACGACCAAAACCAGUCAUUUAUUGGGUAAAACACCAACGUUUCAGCAUCACUGUGCCUUCUUCCGUGUGACGUCAUGAAUGCUUGAACCAGGUUAUUGUGCUUUUUAUUAGUAUAUCACCUGUCACCAUGAAUCUGGCCAGCUUCUUUAUUUUGUAUUAGUGUUUCACCUGUCACCAUGAAUCUGGCCAGCUUCUUUAUUUUGUAUUAGUAUAUCACCUGUCACCAUGAAUCUGGCCAGCUUCUUUAUUUUGUAUUAGUAUAUCACCUGUCACCAUGACUCUGGCCAGCUUCUUUAUUUUGUAUUAGUAUAUCACCUGUCACCAUGAAUCUGGCCAGCUUCUUUAUUUUGUAUUAGUAUAUCACCUGUCACCAUGAAUCUGGCCAGCUUCUUUAUUUUGUAUUAG
rnacentral:lncRNA from 13 species